ACCGCAGCCCCCUACACAGACACAGCCUCCACCGCCACCGUAGAAGAUCUGUCGCCGUCGUAGGAAGCUGUGUUGCCGUGAUUGGAAGCUCCCUCGCUGUCGUUUGGAAGCUCGUUGGCCGUCUCCUCUGUUUGAGCGCUCUCCUUCUCUCUCUGUGUCGCCGUUGUGUUUCUGCCACUGCCCUUCUUCCUCGCAGCCGAACUUGCCAACUACUGUGUUCCUGCUGGUGAAGCUUACACAAAGACACUUGAGGUUGCCAGGAAUAUCAAUGAGAAGUUGGCAAUGAUUAGAGAAAGCAAUCUAAUAUAGUGAGGCUGGAAGCUCUCGGAAUAUCAUCAUUGUUGGGUUAUCAUUGUUUUUCUCUCUUUCCAUACCUGCCUACUUUCAACAAUAUGGUCUCUCUCCAUCCAACAUGUCAGUGCCGAAUUAUUUCCAGCCUUAUGUUGUGGCUUCUCAUGGACCUAUACAGAGCAAGAAUGGAGGGGUCUGGAGAAUGGGGAGAUCAUUUGACAUUGCAGGCAGCUGCUGAUAAGGUUUGCUAUGCAGAGGUAUUUGCUCUCAUUCCCUAAGAAUUGGAUCUCACUCAAUCUGACAAAUAACUUGUAUGCAUGUUUAUUUUUAUGCAUUCUGUGCAUGACCAUGAUUGAAGAGCAUGCAAGCAUCUCUCUUAAAUGAAAUUGCAAUUGCAUAUGCUCAGUCCAAUGUAAACAAAUCAAAGAAGAAGAACUAGAUGAACAAAUACUUUCAAGUUUCAGCCACACAAGAGUCUACCAUGGAGUAAAGAAUCAUGUAACUCAGAUUAGAUUGGAGAGUUUAAACUUUAAAGAGAGCAUGAGGAAAUAGUUUUAAAAUUUAGGCUGAAAGUCCUGCCCUUCUCUGUUGUAGUUUAAAAGAAAUUUUGGGGUAUUUUUUUAUCGAGACAAUGAGAUAUUGAAUAAUGGUGUUGAAAAAUAACAUCCAAUUUUAUAGGUAUCAUGUAAUGAAUAUUAUGUUUAUCUAUGUGAUUUUUGGCUUUCAUUUUUUCAA